GAUACCGAUAGUUUGGAAAAUGCUUCAUAUCGGCCCGCCGAUAUAUCGGUCAGGCUCCACUUUUAAACUUUGUUUUUUGUUGUUGCAUGCAUUAAACUAACAAGAUAUAACUUGUUGAUUAGUAAGCUUCAGGGGGGAUUUGUUACCUUUGGACAGAGCCAGGUUAGCCGUUUCCCCAUUUCAAGUCUUUAUGCUAAACUAAGCCAACCGUCUAAGCGUUGAUGAUGGGUAGCAUGUGUUAAAACAUUCACGGAUUACUAGCAUAUGUAUAUGGGCUCAUUCAACUGAAUUGAACUUGUAAAAUGUAGGCUUUCCAAGACUAGAGUAGCAGGCCUCCUAACUCUUGUUCCUUUCGAUUUAUUAAGUUAAAAAACAUCCUAAAACUAUUUUAACAACGCUGAAAAGAUCUAGGUGGAUCCUGUGGAUAACUGGAAGUCAUGUUGAGAUAUAGCAGAGGAGUUAUUGAACAAUAAUACAGGAAGUGCUGAAAUGUCCACCAAAAUCAGUCUCAACAAACCAGAAUGCACUGGAACAACAACUUUGCCCUUUCACACUUGGUUUAAAAUCAUGAUAAUGUUUGAUUUUUCUACAUGGUAGGCACUUUCUUCUGGGUUAAAAUCUUUUUAGUUUUUCUUUUUUUAAUCCAGGAUAUGUAUGACAGGCAGGUCGAGGAAAAGUAGCUGCAUGACAAAAAAAACUUGGAAUGGAUUUGAUAUCACAGAGUAUCCAGUUAUUAUCAUUCAAUAUUUUUGUAAAGGCAGUCGAAUAGAUUUUAAGCAUGUGGUGUAUGAACAUAAUUGGUGUAGGAGAUCAAGCAUGUAAGCCACUGAAAGAGACCCACUUACACACAGCACAAACGUCCUGUUACCCGACAAUCGCGCCUUUUGUUCUGUUGCAGAGUGAAAACCUUGUCUCCAAAGGGAGGGGGAGCUUUACGAUUAGCCUAAUAAUCCUUCAGACAGAUAGUGAUAAUUACCCUCUUGAUAAGAUAUUAGGUUAAUUAAUUUGCUCCGACAUUACAAAAAUGCCCCGCGUCCUCCUUGCAAGGUAUAUCGAGUUGCUUUCCGCACCAGCUUCCAUCUUGAUUUUAAGCCAUGGCCUCAUAUUUAGUUUUAUCAUUAUUAUUUUUUUAAAAACAUACAGUUUCAAUGAUGGGUUGAGCUAUCUUUUCCUCCUCUUUCUUUUCUUUUUCUCUAUUGCUAUUGGCUGUACGGUCUUACUUUUUUUUCUACAUCCCUCUCCUACCAGGUUGUGUGGGAGAGUUUCUUUUUUUUUUCUUCUUUCUUUCUUCAUACUCCUACUCCUUUUCUUCCCUUCUUGUCUCGAAGGUUUUCUUGAGGGCAGUUUUGUCCUGACACUGCUGAGCAUUCAGCCAGGUUUCUAUCCAGGAAAAAAGAAUCAGUAUUUGUUCCAACACAGAGUCCAUUAACAGAGGAGUGCUCAGUUUACAGAGGCUAACCACAUUUGUUUGAAUUUGAAACGGAAGCUUUAUUACAUAUUUCUAUUGCACGUUAAUGUGUCUGUUCAUCUACUGGACAUUCAAGUAAUACAGUAGGGCUGGGCGAUAUGGGAAAAAAAAUCUGAUAUCGUUUGGUUACAAGGUAACCUUGGUUUUCUGAGUGAAGAGACUAUCUAUUCUGUUCCAAUCAAUGUUAUUAAUAUCUAGUCUCAAAUCACAAGAAGCAAGAAGUUAUUAAAGGUCUCAUUAAGCUUUCAAAUAUUUGACUGUACAAUGUGUCGUCCAGCCACUUCUGAAGGCAAAGUGUGAAUAGCUGUUCCUAAUGGCCACAGUUUAAAAUGGGGUGAAAUGCCUUUUGUCAUAGAGAGGGUUGAGACAGGAUGAGUUGUAUUUAUGGGUAUCAUGGCGCAUGUUUUUUGUUUGUUCUUGAAUGCAGUCGUGGUGUUGCAAUAGUUGUGUCAAACAUGAAAAAAGAGAGCUUGAGAGCGUUCAAACACUGCCUACUUUCAGACCUGAGCACAUCUGCUGCGUAAAGUCAGAUGGAGAAUGUUGGGUUUCUGUUUUGGAAAGACCCAGAAAUUGUCAUAUGAACCCAUUGGAUUAGAACAUCAGGAAGAUGAUUCUAAAUUCUGUUAGACAAACUGGAAAGCACUUUGAUUGUAGCUUUAAACACACAAAAUAUUUGAUUCCAACAACACACUUGCAUGGACUAACUGCUGUGUUGCAAAUGGCAUUUUUCACACAUUGUUAGAAUGUACAUGGAGGGUUAAAAAGAUUAACCCAUAAGGGGCGGUGUCAGGUGUGAAUCCUUAUAGGUUACUAUCUAAUGUUGGCAGAAGAAGCAGCACAACCUACAGUACAUCAUACAGUAGUUUACUGGUUUCCCUUUAAAAUAUAGGUGUAUUUCGCGUACAAAUACCGUUAAAGCUUGCGAUAGAAUACAGCCAAAAAUCUGUAAACAGACCAUUGUAGAAGUGCUGUUUUUUAUCUGACAGCU